UCAUAGCUCAGUGGUAGAUCAUCUGCCUUGCAUGCAAAAGGUCAAAGGUUAAAUCCCUGGCAUCUCAA